CCUACGGGAGGCAGCAGUGGGGAAUAUUGCACAAUGGGCGCAAGCCUGAUGCAGCGACGCCGCGUGAGGGAUGACGGCCUUCGGGUUGUAAACCUCUUUCAGCAGGGAAGAAGCCGCAAGGUGACGGUACCUGCAGAAGAAGCGCCGGCUAACUACGUGCCAGCAGCCGCGGUAAU
rnacentral:rRNA from 1 species